GGAGGGAGAAGGAGUGGAGAAGACAAGGGGCAGCGGGGCCCCCAGAGCUCCGAGUGCAGCCCCAUGCACAGGCAGCCUCCUAAACUCUAGAUGUGAUCAUGUCUCCCAAGCACUGAUGGGUUCUUCUUCAAUAAUAGGAACUGUUUUAAAGAUACUGAAAAGUCGGAGCUGGAUCAUGGGACAGCCAUGCACUCCGACCCAGGAGAGCCCCACUGAGAAUCACCGGUAAGAAC